rnacentral:rRNA from 1 species
AUUGAACGCUGGCGGCAUGCUUUACACAUGCAAGUCGAACGGUAACGGGUUAAGCUGACGAGUGGCGAACGGGUGAGUAAUGCAUCGGAACGUGCCCGGUCGUGGGGGAUAACGCAGCGAAAGCUGCGCUAAUACCGCAUACGAUCAAAGGAUGAAAGCGGGGGACCGUAAGGCCUCGCGCGAUCGGAGCCGCCGAUGUCAGAUUAGGUAGUUGGUGGGGUAAAGGCUCACCAAGCCAACGAUCUGUAGCUGGUCUGAGAGGACGACCAGCCACACUGGGACUGAGACACGGCCCAGACUCCUACGGGAGGCAGCAGUGGGGAAUUUUGGACAAUGGGCGAAAGCCUGAUCCAGCAAUGCCGCGUGCAGGAAGAAGGCCUUCGGGUUGUAAACUGCUUUUGUACGGAGCGAAAAGGUCUCCUCUAAUACAGGGGGCUCAUGACGGUACCGUAAGAAUAAGCACCGGCUAACUACGUGCCAGCCGCCGCAGUAA